GCCACUGCUAUUGGGGUUCGGCUAAGCCAUGCGAGUGGAGGGCGUCCCGCAAGGGAUGGCCCCGCAGACAGCUCAGUAACACGUCGUCAGCCCACCUUAGGGUGGGGGACAACCUCGGGAAACUGAGGAUAAUCCCCCAUAGGCGGGGGAGGCUAGAAUGCGCCCCCGCUGAAAGCUCAGGCGCCCUAGGACGGGACGGCGGCCUAUCAGGUAGUUGGUGGUGUGACG
rnacentral:rRNA from 1 species